rnacentral:rRNA from 1 species
UACGUAGGGGGCGAGCGUUGUCCGGAUUUAUUGGGCGUAAAGAGCGUGUAGGCGGCCAGGUAGGUCUGCUGUGAAAACUCGAGGCUCAACCUCGAGACGUCGGCGGAAACCAUCUGGCUAGAGUCCGGAAGAGGAGAAUGGAAUUCCCGGUGUAGCGGUGAAAUGCGCAGAUAUCGGGGAGAACACCCGUGGCGAAGGCGGUUCUCUGGGACGGUACUGACGCUGAGACGCGAAAGCGCGGGGAUCAAACAGG